rnacentral:sRNA from 1 species
AUUUUCCAGCCUGGGCGCUGACGCCGCGGACCUCCCUGCGGCCGUCGCGGACCAUGGGCGACAAAGGGACCCGAGUGUUCAAGAAGGCCAGUCCGAAUGGAAAGCUCACCGUCUACCUGGGAAAGCGGGACUUUGUGGACCACAUCGACCUCGUGGACCCUGUGGAUGGUGUGGUCCUGGUGGAUCCUGAGUAUCUCAAAGAGCGGAGAGUCUACGUGACGCUGACCUGCGCCUUCCGCUAUGGCCGGGAGGACCUGGAUGUCCUGGGCCUGACCUUUCGCAAGGACCUGUUUGUGGCCAACGUACAGUCCUUCCCACCGGCCCCCGAGGACAAGAAGCCCCUGACGCGGCUGCAGGAGCGCCUCAUCAAGAAGCUGGGCGAGCACGCUUACCCUUUCACCUUUGAGAUCCCUCCAAACCUUCCAUGCUCUGUGACGCUGCAGCCGGGGCCCGAAGACACGGGGAAGGUAGGUCACCCCAAGGGGACCAUCUCUCUGGCUCCAGGACUCUCAUGUCCCCAGGUGUCUGGCUUUCUCCCUGGGAGGUGCUGG